AUUUUUUUAGUAUAAAUAGUACAGUAGAUUUCCAAUCUGAGAGUCUAAAUAAUUUUAGAAAAAAUA
rnacentral:tRNA from 1 species